rnacentral:lncRNA from 1 species
CUCACACAAGAGGUUCUGCAAAUGAAGAUGCUGCUGUUGGUUUAGUUUACCAAAAGUCUUAGACAAAAAAUAGCAUAUUUCAGUAAACGUAAGUAAAGAUUACUGGUUGAAUUUCCUGAGACUAUUGAGAUUUUCUAAGAUUUCUUUUGGUUUAGAUUCUAGAAGGACAUUGCCACAACUUUGUUUAUAGUUCUAAUUUUUUUGGGGUCGGGGAUCAUAUGGUUGACUCAUCCCCUCCCCUUGCUGAGUUUUUCUUAGUUGGAACUACAACUUUAAGUUUGGUUUCAGCAUCCAUGCAACCCAGAUUUUCUAGAACGAGCCCAAAAAACAGGUUCUGAGAUGGCCUGGCUCACAACAGCUUAGUCUACAGCUUCCAGUCUGGUUCUGUUCAUUGACUGUAUAUGGGAACUGGACUGAGUGACCCCUUUCCCCCUGCGUUCUAAAUAGGAAGCACUCACUAGCUCCAAGAAGCCAAAAUCUCAUGGACUUCUAUUGAGUCAUUCUGUUUGUCAGAUUAGCCUACUUUAAGGAUAAACUGUUUUAAAGUUUCAACUUUUCUGGUUCCUAAACUGCUUUAGUCUACCUUACAGUAGAUGUUGAAAUCCGAACUUUGUGUUUAGGUGGUGGGGGAAACAUGGCAGCUUCUUGAACAUUGCCAUUUUGGAGUUAGAAUUCAUCGAGACAGACAAACGAGGAAAGAGGGACCAAAUGGACCUCCUCUGCUAAUUCAGUAUUUUAUCUGUUACAAAGUUCUGCUUGGUUUGGCUCAUACAAGCCUGAUUUCUGUAGGGACGUGCGCUUGGACAUGAACGGAAAAGUCAUCACUGCUGCCGCCAGGAUCAGUCACUCCAAAAGUGCCAGUAUGGUAUCAGAGGAGUCUGCAGGUUCCCAGUCUUGGACCUGUUUACCCAGCACAUCCGAUGUGGAACCUCCAUCUAUGAAGGUUAGUUCUUUUUUAGGGUUCAGGUCCAAAGAGGGCUUUUGAGUGCAGCAUCACAGACAGUUGGUCCAGACUCUUGUCCAUAGUCUAAGGCAAGUCUCUGUAUGGCCACAACAGGAGUUUGGUUCAUGUCCUGGCAGUAAAUUGACCCUGCCAUGCUCUUGGUUCAUGUGGUACUCUGGCAGGGAUGUUCUUUCUCACCAGUUCUGUUCACAAUUCUUAUGGACAGUUCUAGGGUCCACAAGAAGCCUGAUGGGAACUGGAGUAUUUGGUCCUACUAGUUUUUGAAGAGAAGGAAGUUUUGGAAUUUUGUUAAAUUCUUACUUGUAACCUGGCUGAAGUUAAGCAAUAGAGGAUGAAUGGAUGACAAACUUUGUUCUAUAGAGCAUUUCAACAACUACUGCUGAUCAAAGUGCUUUCAAAGAAAAUCAUAAUAAUUGAUACUUUAUAUAGUUAAACACUUAAAGAUGAAAUGACAAAUUAAAGCUAUUUAAACAUGACAUAUCUAUGAAGAAACAACACAGAAGGCCAAGAUUUUGAAAACUUUGGACAGGUCACUGAAAAAUAAAACCUCCCCCACUUAAAAUCUUGGGCAAAGGACCUCCAGCAGUGUUUUGUUAGCAGGGUUGACCAUUAACUGCCUUAAAAAGAUGNNNNNNNNNNUAAAUAAAUAAAUAAAUAAAUAAAUAAAUAAAUAAAUAAAUAAAUAAUGAAGUUGA